rnacentral:rRNA from 1 species
AACUUUCAACAACGGAUCUCUUGGUUCCAGCAUCGAUGAAGAACGCAGCGAAAUGCGAUAAGUAAUGUGAAUUGCAGAAUUCCGUGAAUCAUCGAAUCUUUGAACGCACAUUGCGCCCUCUGGUAUUCCGGGGGGCAUGCCUGUCCGAGCGUCAUUGCAUCCUUCAAGCCCG